rnacentral:rRNA from 1 species
UACGUAGGGUGCAAGCGUUGUCCGGAAUUAUUGGGCGUAAAGAGCUUGUAGGCGGUUUGUCGCGUCUGCUGUGAAAUUUCGGGGCUCAACCCCGAACUUGCAGUGGGUACGGGCAGACUAGAGUGUGGUAGGGGAGACUGGAAUUCCUGGUGUAGCGGUGAAAUGCGCAGAUAUCAGGAGGAACACCGAUGGCGAAGGCAGGUCUCUGGGCCACUACUGACGCUGAGAAGCGAAAGCUGGGGAG